CGGCCCUUCGAGGCUUCCAACGCCAGACGUGUAUGCAUCAAUUGCUUCUCUCUCCGUCCUCUCUCAGGGGUUGAAGUAGUUUUUGCAAUAGAGAAAGCUGCGGUGGAGAUAUGACUUCUGUUCGCUGACGGUGCUCUCGGGCCGUCUAUCAAACUCAACUCGGGGCUGGAUUAUUACAUAGAUGUUGAUUAUCAAGUGGGUGAUGGCUUCUCUUUCAGUGGAGGUGUCUAUUCUCUUUUCCACUACCUCUUUUAUUUGCUAAAUGGCCUUUCCAAGUUUUUCAGUACUAGUAACUGAGGAAGUGGGUAAGUUUUUGACAGGAAAGUAUUCAUAUGGACCAAGCCCUUCUGAUGAAUGGUUCAAGCAGGGGAAGAUAGUGCUUAUAUUUCUCUUGGUUCUGGUGAGAAGGUCCGAUCUUGGACUUGCAAUGGGUGCUGAUUCUCAGGCAGUUGCUGAUGUUUUUAGGUAAAUUUGUACAUUUAGCUUUAGAGGACUAGCGGUUGGCAUGUUUGAAACAGUGUGGUUUAUACUUUUAUAGUAUAUGAGUCAUGCAGACAAUGAGUGUGGAAUUUGCAGGGUUUACCAAUUGUCUCACUCUACAAUAAUUUCACUUUUAAGAGAGUUAUUGAAGUUGUUAUUUUGG